rnacentral:rRNA from 1 species
GAGUUUGAUCCUGGCUCAGGACGAACGCUGGCGGCGUGCUUAACACAUGCAAGUCGAGCGGAAAGGCCCUUCGGGGUACUCGAGCGGCGAACGGGUGAGUAACACGUGAGCAACCUGCCCUUGGCUUUGGGAUAACCCUCGGAAACGGGGGCUAAUACCGAAUAUCCAUCUUUCAUCGCAUGGUGGUUGGUGGAAAGUUUUUCGGCCAGGGAUGGGCUCGCGGCCUAUCAGCUUGUUGGUGGGGUGAUGGCCUACCAAGGCGACGACGGGUAGCCGGCCUGAGAGGGCGACCGGCCACACUGGGACUGAGACACGGCCCAGACUCCUACGGGAGGCAGCAGUGGGGAAUAUUGCACAAUGGGCGGAAGCCUGAUGCAGCGACGCCGCGUGAGGGAUGACGGCCUUCGGGUUGUAAACCUCUUUCAGCAGGGACGAAGCGAAAGUGACGGUACCUGCAGAAGAAGCGCCGGCCAACUACGUGCCAGCAGCCGCGGUAAGACGUAGGGCGCGAGCGUUGUCCGGAUUUAUUGGGCGUAAAGAGCUCGUAGGCGGCUUGUCGCGUCGACUGUGAAAACCCGUGGCUCAACCAUGUGGUCUGCAGUCGAUACGGGCAGGCUAGAAUUCGGUAGGGGAGACUGGAAUUCCUGGUGUAGCGGUGAAAUGCGCAGAUAUCAGGAGGAACACCGGUGGCGAAGGCGGGUCUCUGGGCCGAUAUUGACGCUGAGGAGCGAAAGCGUGGGGAGCGAACAGGAUUAGAUACCCUGGUAGUCCACGCUGUAAACGUUGGGCGCUAGGUGUGGGGGGCCUCUCCGGUUCUCUGUGCCGCAGCUAACGCAUUAAGCGCCCCGCCUGGGGGAGUACGGCCGCAAGGCUAAAACUCAAAGG